AUGCAAUAGUUUUAUAGACCACUAAAAAAAUAUCAUCACACCAUCUGUGAGCUUUCGGGGAUGGACCCCACUUUGUCAGGCUUGUACGGGUGUAAAGAACAUGAAGAGUCGAAAAUUCCUUGGCAAGUGGAUUUUGCUAAGCAUGUGUUCCUUAGAUGUAAAUCAGGAAAGAUGCAGGUAGCAUCUGAGCUUCUGUUUAAAAGUUAGAGCUGAGGCAGCUGUGGAUCUGGAUACCACAGUCCAGAAAAUAAAACACACACACACACACACACACACACACAGAGAGAUAGAUAGAUAGAUAGAGAGAGAGAGAGAGAGAGAGAGAGAGAGAUGCCACUAGAGUCUUUGUGUUUUUUUAGUGCCCCCGACUAAUACAUUUCCCCUCACCUCCACCAUUGUGAGGGUUUUAAUUCUUAGAGGAAGCAAUGAGGGCUCUAAUUCAUUGAUGGGGAUCACCUAUGAGGCCUGGAAUUAAGAACUAAAAGGCCUGACCUCACUGCGGACCGUGGCUGAGUGGCGUUUUGGUUCCUGCAGUGUGUUCUGCCUUCUCCCGAGGAAGUCUCAACGUCUGUUACAGGCAACAGGUCAUCAGAAGCUGGUAAGCGUAGCUGUCCGAGAGACAUGAUUCAGGCAGACCUCCAGGUCUGAAAAAUUAUCCCUGCAAGUGGACCUAAGGACCAACUAAGAAAAAAAAAUAAGACAAGCUGGUUUGCAAAACACAGGAGGUGUGAAAAGUUUCCCCUGUGACAGUGAGACUUGUCCGGACAGAAGGAGCCCCUUCCACGUCUGGUUGGGUUUGGCCCUCAGACAGAGCACUCUGCCCGGUCGCAGAAUUGAGGCUAAGAGCUCCCUUUCGCUGGCUUUUGUGCCUGGCACAGCUUCAGACCUCUCAGCUGGAUUUCUCACCCCAGGCGGUCCCGUUCCGUGGCUGCACCAAGAGAGGAGCAUCUCAGCACAGUGGCCGAAAAGUGACCGCGUUUCUCCGAGAGGAGCCAGGCGUUGGCCUCCCAGCCCAUCAAUCUUUCAGGAGUGGCUUAUCUCUCUGGGAACAGGCGGCGGCUCCGGCUGAGGGACCACCAGAAAAGCAGCAGGGAGGAAACCGGGGCAGCUGCGACAACAAACACCAACCCAACGGCUUUGUGCCAGGACCCACAAGAGCAGCCAUGAAAUAUUCAUCCCAGCUCGGCGGCGGCUGCCACUUCUCAGCACUGGAUAAGAGUUCCUCUUUAAAACUUACCGAAAGCUUUCAUGGAGUGGAACAUCGGAUGGCGUGGGCUACGCUCCACAAAAGUAAAUACCAAAUAAAACCUACUAAGCUUUCAGAUACCACGAGACCCGCUGCUGUAGGAGAUGGCACAUCAGAACGAAGACUCGAGAAACCUGGGUUCAAAUCCCCGCUCUGCCAUGAACGCUCAACUGAGGGAGCGGCAACGGUAAACCCCUCGUGGAACACGUCGUACUUCAAAAACCCUUUUAGGGCUGCCAUUAAUUUGGGGGUCAGGCAAAAAAAAUAAAAACCAAAACUUGGUGGUGCCUUAAAGACUGAUGGCUAUAUAAAGACUGACUGCUCCAUGGGGCUGCCCUUGAAGGCGGUUUGGAAGCUGCAGCAAGCGCAAAAUGCUGUGGCCAGGCUGGUCACGGAUACCUCAAAAUUUGACCACCUUUCACCUGUCCAGGCUUGCUUGCCCUGGCUGCCCAGAUGCUUCUGGGACAAAAUCAGCCUUCCAUCCUUCCGAGGUCGGUAAAAUGAGUACCCAGCUUGCUGGGGGGGGGGGCAAUGUGUAGCCUGUAUAAUAAAAAAUUUAAACCGCCCA
rnacentral:lncRNA from 1 species